rnacentral:misc_RNA from 1 species
AAGUCGUAACAAGGUUUCCGUAGGUGAACCUGCGGAAGGAUCAUUAUUGAAAUAAACCUGAUGAGUUGUUGCUGGCUCUCUAGGGAGUAUGUGCACGCUUGUCAUCUUUAUAUCUCCACCUGUGCACUUUUUGUAGACCUGGAUAUCUCUCUGAUGCUUUUUAGCACUCAGGUUGGAGGAUUGACUUGAUUGUCUUUCUUUACACUUCCAGGCCUAUGUUUCUUCAUAUACCCCAUGUAUGUUACAGAAUGUGAUAAAUGGGCCUUUGUGCCUAUAAACCUUAUACAACUUUCAGCAACGGAUCUCUUGGCUCUC